rfam:Magnaporthe oryzae 70-15 chromosome 4, whole genome shotgun sequence.
GGCAAUGUGUCUGAGUGGUUAAGGAGCGUGACUAGAAUGAUAGCCCACAGAUUCAUCUGUGAGGCACUCAAAUCAAAUCACGUGGGUUCGCCCGCGUAGGUUCAAAUCCUGCCAUUGUCG